UGAAAAAUUAACAAAUAGCCAUGCUGUUCCCAAGCUUCACAUGCAUGCAUAAGGAGAUGCAAACAUGGACACACGCAAGCUGCAGCAGUCAGCAGUGCUUAGCAGACAGAUGCCAGGAGGGAAGACAGGUGCUGCCCUGCCAGAGCAGAGGAAACAUCAGUGACCCACAGCCAUGGGAUGUGCAGAUGCUGGGAAAACAGGGAAAGGACUGCCAGCAGAGCAGUGCUCCACAGCAGAAUGCUCCUUCCGAAGGAUGUAGUGUCAAAAACCUGCAGCUUGUUCGUAUUCUCCCUGCAUGGACUCUGCUGCUGAAGUAAUCCAUCACAGCUAUCCAUCUUGCAUGUUAUUAAUGGCAUUGCCAUUCGGGCAGCAAGACCCGAGCAGAAAUCUGAAAUAUAAAAUGACCCUCUUCUCUCGAG
rnacentral:lncRNA from 1 species